rnacentral:rRNA from 1 species
GAUGAACGCUGGCGGCGUGCCUAACACAUGCAAGUCGAGCGAUCUUCUUCGGAAGAGAGCGGCGGACGGGUGAGUAACGCGUGGGUAACCUGCCCUGUACACACGGAUAACAUACCGAAAGGUAUGCUAAUACGAGAUAAUAUGCUUUUAUCGCAUGGUAGAAGUAUCAAAGCUUUUGCGGUACAGGAUGGACCCGCGUCUGAUUAGCUAGUUGGUGAGGUAACGGCUCACCAAGGCGACGAUCAGUAGCCGACCUGAGAGGGUGAUCGGCCACAUUGGAACUGAGACACGGUCCAAACUCCUACGGGAGGCAGCAGUGGGGAAUAUUGCACAAUGGGCGAAAGCCUGAUGCAGCAACGCCGCGUGAGCGAUGAAGGCCUUCGGGUCGUAAAGCUCUGUCCUCAAGGAAGAUAAUGACGGUACUUGAGGAGGAAGCCCCGGCUAACUAC